rnacentral:rRNA from 1 species
CCUACGGGAGGCAGCAGUGAGGAAUAUUGGUCAAUGGCCGGAAGGCUGAACCAGCCAAGUAGCGUGAAGGACGACUGUCCUACGGAUUGUAAACUUCUUUUAUCCGGGGAUAAAGUUGUCCUCGUGAGCCUGUUCGCAGGUACCGCAUGAAAAAGCAUCGGCUAACUCCGUGCCAGCAGCCGCGGUAAUACGGAAGGUGCGAGCGUUAUCCGGAUUUAUUGGGUUUAAAGGGUGCGUAGGCCGGGCUGUAAGCGUGCCGUGAAAGUUUGUGGCUCAACCAUGGGGGUGCGGCGCAAACUGGCGGCCUUGAGUGGGCGGAAGGAAGGCGGAAUGCGUGGUGUAGCGGUGAAAUGCUUAGAUAUCACGAAGAACUCCGAUUGCGAAGGCAGCAUGCCGGCG